rnacentral:rRNA from 1 species
CGGACGGGUGAGUAACGCGUGAGCAACCUGCCUGUUAGAGGGGAAUAACGUCUGGAAACGGACGCUAAUACCGCAUAACGCAUUGAGACCGCAUGGGUAUUAAUGCCAAAGAUUUAUCGCUAACAGAUGGGCUCGCGUCCGAUUAGGUAGUUGGUGAGGUAACGGCCCACCAAGCCGACGAUCGGUAGCCGGACUGAGAGGUUGAACGGCCACAUUGGAACUGAGAAACGGUCCAGACUCCUACGGAAGGCAGCAG